GAUGAACGCUGGCGGCGUGCUUAACACAUGCAAGUCGAACGGAAGAUAUACGCUGAUGCGAUUUCGGUCAAAUCUUGUGUAUCUUUAGUGGCGGACGGGUGAGUAACGCGUGGGUAACCUGCCUUGCACUGGGGGAUAACACUUAGAAAUAGGUGCUAAUACCGCAUAAGCGCACAGGGCCGCAUGGUCCGGUGUGAAAAAUUCCGGUGGUGCAAGAUGGGCCCGCGUCUGAUUAGCUGGUUGGUGGGGUAAAGGCCCACCAAGGCGACGAUCAGUAGCCGGCCUGAGAGGGUGGACGGCCACAUUGGGACUGAGACACGGCCCAA
rnacentral:rRNA from 1 species